rnacentral:rRNA from 1 species
GACAGAGGGUGCAAACGUUGUUCGGAAUUACUGGGCGUAAAGCGUGUGUAGGCUGCCAUGUAAGUCGGAUGUGAAAGCCCCGGGCUCAACCCGGGAAGUGCAUUCGAUACCGCGUGGCUCGAGUAUCGGAGAGGUUGGUGGAAUUCUCGGUGUAGAGGUGAAAUUCGUAGAUAUCGAGAGGAACACCGGUGGCGAAGGCGGCCAACUGGACGAAUACUGACGCUGAGACACGAAAGCGUGGGGAGCAAACAGG